AGAAUUGAUCUGGUCAGGACGAACGCUGGCGGCGAGCUUAACACAUGCAAGUCGAACGGGGAUAAUGACGGAAAGCUUCGGCCGGAAGACAUUAUCGAGUGGCGGACGGGUGAGUAACGCGUGAGCAAUCUGUCCCAGACAGGGGGAUAACACUUGGAAACAGGUGCUAAUACCGCAUAAGACCACGGUGUCGCAUGGCACAGGGGUAAAAGGAGCGAUCCGGUUUGGGGUGAGCUCGCGUCCGAUUAGCCAGUUGGCGGGGUAACGGCCCACCAAAGCGACGAUCGGUAGCCGACCUGAGAGGGUGAUCGGCCACAUUGGAACUGAGAGACGGUCCAAACUCCUACGGGAGGCAGCAGUGGGGAAUAUUGGGCAAUGGGCGAAAGCCUGACCCAGCAACGCCGCGUGAGUGAAGAAGGCCUUCGGGUUGUAAAGCUCUGUUACAGGUGACGAAGGAAGUGACGGUAACUUGUAAGGAAGCCCCGGCUAACUACGUGCCAGCAGCGGC
rnacentral:rRNA from 1 species